GGGAGAAUCCUGAAUUCGAAAGGGACUUGUGGAUUCAGCCACUGUACCUGUGCGCAAUGGCGGCACCCGAACAGAUGACGCCUGUUGCCCGCAUGAGAUUAAUUUCGAUUGCGGGAGUCUACUGCGCUCACUCGGGAGGAGCUUGCUUUGCUGCCGGGGUGGUGCACUUCCUCCCCAGUAGAAACGUCGCGACCCGUUGGGUGCCGGCCUCAGGGCCCGGGGCGGCAGACCGCGCGUCCUUGCCGGGACUCCGUUCCCGGCAGGCGCGCGGACCCCCGGUGACCCGGCCGGCCGCCCGACGGUAGGACCAGAGGAGUCGAUCCGCAAAAACUGGAGAAACACUGUGGCUGUGAUGCGUCCGGCCCGGCACGGACGCCGGCGGGGAAUCUGGUUGAACCCGGGGGAACGCGUGCGACGCACGCGCCCGGCCCCGCCGCGCCGUCUUCGCCGGUGUCCUCGGACAGGAUCGGUGCUCCCGUCCGCGACGACCACCUUCGGAUGGUCUCCCG
rnacentral:rRNA from 1 species